rnacentral:rRNA from 1 species
CCUACGGGUGGCAGCAGUCGAGAAUCAUUCACAAUGGGGGAAACCCUGAUGGUGCGACGCCGCGUGGGGGAAUGAAUGUCUUCGGAUUUUAAACCCUUGUCAUGUGGGAGCAAAUUAUAAAGAUAGUACCACAAGAGGAAGAGACUGCUAACUCUGUGCCAGCAGCCGCGGUAAUACAGAGGUCGCAAGCGUUGUUCGGAAGCACUGGGCGUAAGGGGUGCGUAGGCUGUUUUGGAAGUCGUGUGUGAAAGGCGAGGGCUCAACCCGCGGACGGCACAUGAUACUGCGCUACUAGAGUAAUGGAGGGGGAACCGGAAUUCUCGGUGUAGCAGUGAAAUGCGUAGAUAUCGAGAGGAACACUAGUGGCGAAGGCGGGUUCCUGGACAUUAACUGACGCUGAGGCACGAAGGCCAGGGGAGCGAAAGGGAUUAGAUACCCGGGUAGUC